rnacentral:tRNA from 2 species
GGCGGUAAUUGUGGAAUUGGUAGACACGCAAGAUUCAAAAUCUUGUGGAGGUAACGUCGUGUCGGUUCGACCCCGACUACUGGUACCA